AGAGCGAACGCUGGCGGCAGGCCUAACACAUGCAAGUCGAGCGCGUGUAGCAAUACACGAGCGGCAGACGGGAGAGUAACACGUGGGAACGCGCCCUUCGGUUCGGAAUAACUCAGGGAAACUUGAGCUAAUACCGGAUACGCCCUUACGGGGAAAGAUUUAUUGCCGAAGGAACGGCCCGCGUCCGAUUAGCUAGUUGGUGAGGUAACGGCUCACCAAGGCGACGAUCGGUAGCUGGUCUGAGAGGAUGACCAGCCUCACUGGGACUGAGACACGGCCCAGACUCCUACGGGAGGCAGCAGUGGGGAAUAUGGACAAUGGGCGCAAGCCUGAUCCAGCCAUGCCGCGUGGAUGAUGAAGGCCUUAGGGUUGUAAAGUCCUUUUAACGGGAAGAUAAUGACGGUACCGUAGAAUAAGCCCCGGCUAACUUCGUGCCAGCAGCCGC
rnacentral:rRNA from 1 species